rnacentral:lncRNA from 1 species
UACCAUCCAGGUUCUCUGCAUGGACAAGUACAGGGAGGCACAGCUGUUGCUGGUGGAGACCACCACAUUUGGGAAUGGAGACUUCCCCAGCAAUGGAGAGAAACUGAAGAAAUCCCUCUUCAUGCUGAAAGAGCUCACCAACAAAUUCAGGUAUGCCAUGUUUGGCCUCAGCUCCAGCAAGUACCCUCAGUUCUGUGCCUUUGCUCAUGACCUCACCCAGUAGCUGUCCCACCUGGGGGCCUCUCAGCUCACCCCGAUGGGGGAAGAGGAUGAGGUCAGUGGGCAGAGGAUGCCUUCCGCAGCUGGGCCAUGCAAACCUUCAAGGCAGCCUGUGAAACGUUUGAUGUCCGAAGCCAACAGCACAUUCAGAUCCCCAAGCUCUACACCUCCAAUGUGACCUGGGGCUUGCACCACUUCAGGCUCCCCUCAGCAGCAUGCACGCCAAUAACAUGUUCACCACGAGGCUCAAAUCUCAGCAGAAGCUACAGAGUCCAACAUCCAGCCACACCACCAUCCUGGUGGAAUUCUCUUGUGAGGAGGGCCAAGGCCUGAACUACCUGCCAAGGGAGCACCUUGGGGUUUGCCCAGGCAACCAGCUGGCCCUGGUCCAAGGCAUGCUGGAGCGAGUGGUGGAUGGCCCCACACCCCACCAGACAGGGCACCUGGAGGCUCUGGAUGAGAGCAGCAGCUACUGGGUCAGUGACAAGAGGCUGCCCCCCUGCUCACUCAGCCAGGCCCUCACCUACUUCCUGGACAUCACCACACCCCCACCCAGCUGCUGCUCCAAAAGCUGGCCCAGGUGGCCACAGAAAAGCCUGAGAGACGAGGCUGGAGGCCCUGUGCCAGUACAGCAAGUGGAAGUUCACCAACAGCCUCACGUUCCUGGAGGUGCUGGAGGAGUUUCUGUCCCUGUGGGUGUCUGCUAGCUUCCUGCUCUCCCAGCUCCCCAUUCUGAAUCCCAGGUUCUACUCCAUCAGCUCCUCCUGGGAUCACAUGCCCAUGGAGAUCCACCUGACUGUGACCGUGCUCAUGUACCACACCCGAGAUGGCCAGGGUCCCCUGCACCACGGCGUCUGCAGCACAUGGCUCAACAACUGAAGCCUCAAAACCCAGUGCCCUGCUUUGUGCGGAACGGCUUCCACCUCCCCGAGGAUCCCUCCCAUCCUCGCAUCCUUGUCAGGCCUGGCACAGGUAUCGCUCCCUUCCACAGUUUCUGGCAGCAGCGGCUCCAUGACUCCCAGCGGAAGGGAGAUGCUAGAGAUGACCCGGAAGCGGGUGCUGCAUGCGGUGCACACGCCUAUUCCCUCCUGCCUGGCAAGCUAAGGACAUCCUGCAGCAGCAGCUGGCCAGCAAGGUGCUCCGUGUACUCCACGAGGAGCCAGGCCACCUCUAUGUUUGCUGGGAUAUGCGCAUGGCCUGGGAUGUGGCCCACACCCUGAAGCAGCUGGUGGCUGCCAAGCUGAAAUUGAAUGAGGAGCAGGUCGAGGACUAUUUCUUUCAGCUCAAGUGCUAUCACGAAGAUAUCUUUGGUGCUGUAUUUCCCUACAAGCAGACAAGGCGGCAGUGCAGCCCAGGAGCCUGGAGAUGUCAGCGCUCUGACGUUAUACAGAGUGGGGAGCUGGUGGGUGUCGCAGCCUGGACAGAUCC